GACGAACGCUGGCGGCGUGCUUAACACAUGCAAGUCGAACGGAAAGGCCCUGCUUGCAGGGUACUCGAGUGGCGAACGGGUGAGUAACACGUGGGUGAUCUGCUCUGCACUUCGGGAUAAGCCUGGGAAACUGGGUCUAUUACCCAUAAGUCGCCAUUUUUAGUGUGAUGGUUGUACAGUUUUGUCGGUGUCGGAUGAGCUCGCGUCCUAUCAGCUUGUUGGUGGGGUAAUGGCCUACCAAGGCGGCGACGGGUAGCCGGACUGAGAGGGUGAACGGCCACAUUGGGACUGAGAUACGGCCCAGAUGCCGAAGGUAGGAAGCAGGGGGGAAGAUUGAACAAGGCGUGCAGGCUGGAUGAAGCGAGGCCGCGUGGGGGAUGACGGCCUUAGGGGUGUAAACUCCUUGCGAGAGGAAAGAAGCCUGUUGUGACGUUACCUAGAUAAGAAGCACCGGCUAACUACGUG
rnacentral:rRNA from 1 species